rnacentral:lncRNA from 1 species
CGGAAUCCUACUCCUAUAGUAUUGUUGGUCGACAUGUAUCGUUAAUAUUACAAGUUGUUAUUGUUUAGCUCAAUUUCAUGAGUAGGUAUGUUUUAGACAUAUAAACUAAAUUGGGAGCAUGUUAUUAGUUGUUAUUAAUCAUGCAUGUGGGACUUGGAUAAAACAUAGGAGAAAACCAGCGUUCGGGACCUGGCAUAUGUUGAACUACCUGAUUUAGCCCUAGGGGCCGUUGUAUUUUUAUACUGUUGCAGUAUCCUCAUAGUGAGUAUCCCAGAUAGUUCAGAUUUCAGUUAUGCUCAUGCUAGGAUUCCGAGCCGAUUUUUACAGUAGUGUUUACAGUGUUCCGGAUUAGUAGGUGCCGUAGUGGUUGACGGCGGAUCCGGAUUUGAUCGUUCCGAUAUAAGAUUGUGCCGAGGGCACGUGACUAGGGGUUGGUAGUACUGUUAGACAUGUUUUCUUGACUUUAGCCUGUGGAGCCUGAUUGAGCUCGACAGAGAUACGCUUGCAUACUCGGUUGGGUCGCGCCCACGAGUGCCCCUCCGGAGUCUGGCUUUGUGCUUUCGCGUUGAUGUAAACACAGUGGGUCAGAAUUGAUAGUAAACACAGUGGGAUAGUGUAGUGGCAUGUAGCUAUGGAUUUCUUUCCGGGUUUAUCUUUUAGCCUUCUUUCCUACUGUAGUCUUAGUGGGUGAGCCGAUGAUUUUGAGAGCGGUACCUACUGAGGACUACUUGUUUUUACAGUAGUUCUCACGCCCAGUUGUUACCCUGUGUUUUGCAGAGCUUGUUGUUCCGGCUCGACUUCAGAGGCGGAUCGAGGCAAGGGCGUCACGAGCUAGAGCCCUACCCGACGAAACGCCGUGCUAGAGGAUCACUAGCUGCAGGUAGUAGUGUUGUUAUUUUGAGCUUAUGUACAUACUGAUAUUAGAACUCGCUGGAGCGAGUGUUUUUGUACUUGUUAGUUUGUAUGUAUAUGAGAUUUGUUCGUUCUACCUGCUUAGUUCUUUUCAGCUCUACACUACUGUUUAUAGUAUUGUAUAUUUUACAGAGACAGCUAUCGCUUCGUAUACAGGAAAAAUUUCUUUGUAUACGGCGGAUUUGUCGGCGUGCCCGGGGAACGUGUAAUCCGGGGCGUGACAGAUUAAGUUGGUAUCAGAGCUUAGCAUUAGGUCAUUGGGACCUAGGAAACCUAAGUUUGGCAAAUCUUAGGAAAGCAAGACGGGAGAGGCAUGAUUUAUUACGAAAGUCAAUGAUUAAUUGUUGUAACUCACCCUGAGGGGAGUGAGUGAUUCGAGGAGUGCUUGUUCUGGCCUGCAAAAUUAUGUUGGCUGCAAACGACAUAAUUUUGAGGAGAAACAGGGGCUGCCUUUCGGACUUUCAUUGAUCGGGUCGAGAGUAUUUGUGUUAUCUGACCCUGUUUUAUUUUUGCAGCUAUGUAUCGUCAUCGAGGCUGACCGUCGACACGGGACCGGGCACAGUUGACACAGGAUCGUGUCGGACCCUCCGAGAUGCCUGAGCAGGCAGAGCCGAGUGCCCGACAGGAGCAGAGUACAAGACUAGAGGCGAGCGCAUCCCCCGACUUGAGUGCUCAGUUGGUCGCUCUGACAGAGGUGACGAGGCGGCAGGGGGAGUUGUUGGAGAGGUUGUGUGAGAGGGUCACCCCGCCACAGAGUACUGUACCAGAGCAGAUUGUUUCACCUCUGACUGCUCCAGCGGCAGCACCAGCUACAGUAGUACUACUACCAGUGACCGUUCCUUCAGUGCCAGUUGCGCCGGUUGGUGAGGCAUCGCAGAUGACCGAGGCUGAGCAGGAGCGGAUGGCUGAGAGACUCGCUCGCUUUCAUCGUUUCGAUCCGCCGACUUUUGAUGGCCGAUGCACAGAGGCUUGGGUUGUUGAGGACUGGGUCAGCUCGAUGGAGAAGUUAUUUGAGGAUCUUUUCAUUCCUGAGCGGGAGCAGGUACAUCUGGGAGUGCAUUGCUUGACAGGGGAUGCCCUUGCUUGGUGGCGGAGAGUGAGGAGAGAUUACAAGUUGGUGACUUUGCAGAUGACAUGGGACGAGUUCUGUGGAAUGCUAUAUGGGAUGUAUUUUCCCAAUAGUGUGAAACAGAAGCUCGAGGAGGAUUUAAAGAAGAUCCAGCAGGGGGGCCAGACAGUACAGGAGUAUAUUCGAGAGUUCACGCGACUCCUGAACUGUGUGCCGUUUGUGGCUAGAGACGAGGCACACAGGGUGUACCUUUUCGAGCAGGGUUUGAGGUCCGAGAUUUUUUGGUUGGUUCAGGCGCAGAGGUUGAGGACCUUGGACGCGUCGAUGGAGCAGGCACUUUGGGUUGAGAGAGGUGAUAUAUCUAUUCGGUAGAGGACUCAGGUUGCAGAGCAGAGUCAGGACAGGAAGCGCUCAGCUCCAGAUGAGGGUGGACAGUCGAGCAGCUGGCGUCUGCCGAGACCUCCACGGUCGCGUUCUUAGGGUCGUGCGUCCUCGGGACGUCAGCGUUCUAGGGGAUCGCGGCACCAGAGGCAAUCACAGGGAUUACAACCAUGUGUGAUUUGUGGAGGACCGCACUGGGCACGGCAGUGUGAGCAGCGUGAGGGCCGAUGUUUUGGAAGUGGAUAGCCGGGGCAUAUGAGGUCUGCUUGCCCCCGAGCAGCAUCACCAGCGCCAUCGACUGCUUCAGCAGCAUCCGGAUCUCAGCAGAUUUCUGGAGCACCUCAGAGUUACCGCGAGGAGGACAGGGCACCUGCGCUGCGACAGGGUGAGCGGCGACAGCAGGCUCCGAGUGGCAGAGUAUAUGCAGCCCAGGUGGAGGACUCUUCAGCAGUCGAUCGAGUGGUAGCAGGUAUAAUUUUAAUUUCUAGUAUUCGAGCCCGUACUUUAUUUCAUACCGGUGCAUCACAUUCUUUUGUUAGCCGAGCAUUUGCAUUGUUGCAUGGUCUAGAGUUAGGGUCAUUGUUACAGGCACGAGAGGUGCAGAUCACCGACCAUGUGUUAUAGGUUGCAGAGUGUUGUUGGUCGUGUCCGGUGCAGUUGGAUUCUUGGAUCUUGCCCACAGACCUGUUGGUCUUACGGAAACUACAGGACUUUGACGUUGUGCUUGGCAUGGAUUGGCUGGUGCGGUACUAUGCUACUAUUGAUUGUGAAGCAAGGACUGUGACGUUCCACGAGCCAGGCCAGGAGGAGUUCACUUUUAGAGGCUGCAGGAGCACGUUGUUCGCUACUUGGAUUUCGUCGGCGAGGGCUCGACAGUUGAUGAGCAGAGGAUGCGUCGCGUUUCUGGCGACGGUAGUAGAGGUACCUAUGGUGACACCGGGACUCGAGGAUAUUUCUGUAGUUCGCGAGUUUCCGGAUGUGUUUUUCCCUGAGUUGACGAUGAUGCCGCAGGAGAGGGAGAUCGAGUUCGUGAUUGAUGUGGUUCCCGGAGCUACACCAAUCUCGAAGGUACCUUAUAGGAUGGCAUCGGUAGAGCUGAGAGAGCUAAAGGCGCAGCUUCAGGAUUUGAUGGACAAGGGAUAUGUGAGACCCAGUGUAUCGCCUUGGGGAGCGCCGGUGUUAUUUGUAAAGAAGAAGGAUGGUUCGCUCAGGUUAUGUGUGGACUACCGGGAGCUGAAUAAAGUGACCAUCAAGAACAAGUAUCCCUUGCUGCACAUUAAUGAUUUGUUUGAUCAGCUGCAGGAAUCUUGUGUCUUCUCGAAGAUUGAUCUCCAGUCAGGUUGCCACUAGCUGAGGGUGAGGGCCGAGGAUGUUCCCAAAACGGCUUUUCGGACUCGGUACGGGCAUUAUGAGUUUACCAAUGAUGCCUUUUGGAUUGAUGAAUGCCCCUGUCGCAUUCAUGGAUUUGAUGAACAGAGUGUUCAAGCCGCUCUUGGAUAGAUUUGUGGUAGUCUUCAUCGAUGACAUUCUGAUCUACUCUUGUAAUGAUGCUGAACAUGAGGAGCACUUGAGGAUUGUGCUAUAGUUUUUGCGAGAGAAGAAGCUAUAUGCCAAGUUAAAGAAGUACGAGUUUUGGUUGCGGGAGGUCGCUUUCUUGGGCCACGUGAUUUCUGCAGAGGGAGUAGUAGUGGACCCGAAGAAGAUUGAUGCUAUUCGGGAUUGGCCUAGACCGACGACGGUGACAGAGGUGAGGAGUUUUCUUGGACUAGCAGGAUAUUACCGUCAGUUUGUGGAGGGCUUUGCGAAGCUUUCCACACCCUUUACCAGGUUGACACGGAAGGGGACUCGGUUUGUUUGGUGUGAGGACUGCCAGAGGAGCUUCAACGAGCUGAGACAGAGAUUGAUGUCAGCUCCUAUCCUUACUCUUCCUGUGAUGGGGGAAGGAUUCGUGAUCUACAGUGAUGCAUCGCACAGUGGAUUGGGUUGUGUGCUGAUGUAGCAUGGUAGGGUAAUUGCUUAUGCUUCACGGCAGUUAAAGGAUUAUGAGAAGAAUUACCCUACGCAUGACUUGGAGCUUGCUGCGGUAGUCUUUGCUCUGAAGUUGUGGCGAUAUUACUUGUACGGCGAGCACUGCGAGGUUUUCACCGAUCAUAAAAGUCUCAAGUAUCUGUUCACUCAAAAGGAAUUGAAUCUGAGGCAGCGCCGGUGGUUGGAGUUACUGAAAGACUAUGAUAUUAGUAUUCAGUAUCAUCUCGGCAGGGCGAAUGUAGUGGCAGAUGCAUUGAGCAGGAGGGGAGCGCAGAGCUUGAGUUUGUUGAUCACUCAGCAGAGACCGCUGCUUGAGGAGCUACAACGGCUGAGGCUUGAGGUGGUGUCCCCUGGGUCUACAGCAAGACUGAUGUCUCUGGUCUUGCAGCCCACUCUGUUGGUUAGGAUCCGGGAGAAACAGAGUGGAGAUCCGCAUUUGUUGAGGAUUUGAGAGCAGUUAGAUAAGGGACAGGCGGAGGGUUUUGCUUUAGACAGUUCGGGAGUACUACUGUACAUGGACCGACUGUGUGUGCCUGUGGAUUCAGAGAUCCGAGCGGAUAUUUUGAGAGAGGUUCAUUGUUCUCCUUAUACGGUUUGCCCUGGUGGAACCAAGAUGUAUAAGGACUUAAAGGCACAGUUCUGGUAGAACGGGAUGAAGAGGGACAUUGGCAGAUUUGUGGCUUAGUGUCUGACUUGUCAACAGGUAAGGCCGAGCAUCAGGUACCUGCUGGCAAGCUUCAGAGUCUGUCAGUGCCUGAGUGGAAAUGGGAGCAGAUCACGAUGGAUUUUGUUGUGGGGUUGCCUAGAGCAUAUGGUGGCUAUGAUGCUAUUUGGGUGAUAGUGGACAAACUGACUAAGUCUGCUCACUUCCUACCAGUUCAGACCACCUGGUCCAGAGAGAGACUCGCGCAGUUAUAUCUGGAUGAGAUUGUUAGACUACAUGGUGUACCAGUAUCGAUCGUAUCAGAUCGGGACCCGAGGUUUGUGUCAUAUUUUUGGAGGAGUUUACAGACAGCUUUGGGGACUCAGUUACAUUUCAGCACAGCGUUUCACCCGCAGACGGAUGGUCAGUCGGAGCGGACCAUUCAGACUCUAGAGGACAUGCUAAGGGCAUGUGUCCUAGAUUUUGGAGGAGGGUGGUAUCGACACUUGAGACUAGCAGAGUUUGUGUACAACAACGGUAUCAAAUGAGCAUUCAGAUGGCUCCGUUUGAGGCGUUGUAUGGACGCAGGUGUCGAUCCCCGUUGUUUUGGAGUGAUGUGGGUGAGAGGAGGACAUUUGGGCCUGAGAUUUUGCUAGAGGCUGAGGAAAAGGUGAGAGUUGUUCGACGACACCUUUUGACAGCCCAGAGCCGCUAGAGGAGCUACGCCGAUACCAGGAGACGAGACUUGGAGUUCCAGGUUGGAGAGCAUGUAUUUCUUAAAGUCUCGCCGUCCAGAGGGAUUCGCCGAUUUGGAGUGCGUGGAAAGCUCAGUCUACAUUUCGUUGGCCCUUUUGAGGUAUUGGAGCGAGUUGGACCAGUUGCUUACCGGAUUGCUCUACCACCCCGACUUGCUGGUAUCCAUGAUGUGUUCCACGUCUCAGCGUUGAGGAGAUAUGUUUUCGAUCCUUCUCACGUGAUUGACUUCACUCCACUAGAGAUUGACGAGGAUCUGAGGUACGAGGAGUGACCGGUGCGGAUUCUUGCUCGUGAGACGAAAGAAUUGCGCAACCGAGUCAUCCCGUAUGUGAAAGUGCAGUGGAGCAAUCACGAGGAGCUGGAGGUAACUUGGGAGCUUGAGACGGUGAUGAGGGAGUUCUAUCCCUAUCUGUUCGAUGCCCAGAGCUGAGGUAUGCUUAAGUUUCGAGGACGAAACUUUUUUUUUGGAGGGGAUGAUGUAAUAUACUGAACCUUAGCAAAUUAGCAAGGUUACAGUAUAAGUUAUGCUUGAUUGAGUUGGAGACGUUUUGCGCAAAAUAGACGAAAAAAAACAGACUUUAAAACUCAAGUUCUUUUUUUGUAGAGGACUAAAGUUGAAUAUUGUAGUAGGUGAGGGGCUUUUGGAUAAUUGUGGCCUUUCAACCUUAUCCCCACCGCCUUAAUUAGGAUAGGGAGGCUGUGAGGAUUUAAUUAACUUUCUUCUCUCUCUCUUUAAUUUAGCUCGUGGGCACGGUGGAGAGCUCGAGCUCGGGAAAUUUUUCGUCGUCGACGUCGCGCCGCGGUGCCGUUCGAGCGUGCGUUCAUCGUCGUAGCGUCGCAGGGAGGUCGGGCGAGGGUGCGAUUCCGCUGUUCUCGACGUCGCGCCGAGUUGGAUUCGCUUUUGAGGUGGGUUUAUCAUCGGAAUCCUACUCCUAUAGUAUUGUUGGUCGACAUGUAUCGUUAAUAUUACAAGUUGUUAUCGUUUAGCUCAAUUUCAUGAGUAGGUAUGUUUUAGACAUAUAAACUAAAUUGGGAGCAUGUUAUUAGUUGUUAUUAAUCAUGCAUGUGGGACUUGGAUAAAACAUAGGAGAAAACCAGUGUUCGGGACCUGGCAUAUGUUGAACUAUCUGAUUUAGUCCUAGGGGCCGUUGUAUUUUUAUACUGUUGCAGUAUCCUCAUAGUGAGUAUCCCAGGUAGUUCAAAUUUCAGUUACGCUCGUGCUAGGAUGCCGAGCCGAUUUUUACAGUAGUGUUUACAGUGUUCCGGAUUAGUGGGUGCCGUAGUGGUUGACGGCGGACCCGGAUUUGAUCGUUCUGAUAUCAGAUUGUGCCGAGGGCACGUGACUAGGGGUUGGUAGUACUGUUAGACCUGUUUUCUUGACUUUAGCCUGUGAGAGCCUGAUUGAACUCGACAGAGAUACGUUUGCACACUCGGUUGGGUCGCGCCCACGAGUGCCGCUCCGGAGUCUCGCUUUGUGCUUCCGCGUUGAUGUCGCUGAUUAGUUGCUAUCCACGGACUGUUUAGAGUGGAGGUAGCGCGGCUUAGACAGGCGGGACGGGUGCGUACACAGUCCCUAAUGAGAUUGGGUCAGAAUUGAUAGUAAACACA